ensembl:misc_RNA
CAGGACAGGUCAGCACAGGCAGCAACAGAGCAAGCUUUCCCCAUACCUUCCAUCUAUGCAUGUUAACUCUGACCUGGAGGGAUCUCCUCUAUA